UCCCCGUUACCGGGGCAGUCUGAUUAGAAAAAUACAACUAAUCACAAGGGUUGCGCUCGUUGAUGGACUUAACCAAACAUCUCACGACACGAGCUGACGACGGCCAUGCAACAUCUGUCACCGAGUUCCCCGUACUUACUUCAAUAUACUCCAUGAAAAAUCAUGGUAUUCAAAUAACUACGGGGCACUCAAUCCUUUCGGAUUAAUUCUCGGGAUGUCAAACCCUGGUAAGGUUCUUCGUUUAGCAUCGAAUUAAAGAACACGAUCCACCGCUUGUGCGGGUCCCCGUCAAUUCCUUUAUGUUUUAGUCUUGCGACCGUACUCCACAGGCGGGAUACUUAACGCGUUAGCUUCGCUACUGAAGGGGUCGAUACCUCCAACAGCUAGUAUCCAUAGUUUA
rnacentral:misc_RNA from 1 species